rnacentral:rRNA from 1 species
UACGAAGGAUGCAAGCGUUAUCCGGAUUUAUUGGGCGUAAAGGGUGCGUAGGCGGUUUGGUAAGUCUGAUGUGAAAUCUAUGGGCUCAACUCAUAGUCUGCAUCGGAAACUGCCGGGCUUGAGUGUGGGAGAGGUGAGUGGAAUUCCUGGUGUAGCGGUGAAAUGCGUAGAUAUCAGGAGGAACACCUGUGGCGAAAGCGGCUCACUGGACCAUAACUGACGCUGAUGCACGAAAGCUAGGGGAGCAAACAGG